rnacentral:misc_RNA from 1 species
AACUUUUAGCAAUGGAUCACUUGGUUCUGGCAUCGAUGAAGAACGCAGCGAAAUGCGAUAAGUAAUGUGAAUUGCAGAAUUCAGGAAUCAUCGAAUCUUUGAACGCACAUUGCGCCCCUUGGUAUUCCGAGGGGCAUGCCUGUUCGAGCGUCAUUACAACCCUCAAGCACAGCUUGGUAUUGGGCCCCGCUGCUAAUCCAGCGGGCCUUAAAAUCAGUGGCGGCGUCUUCAGGCUCUGAGCGUAGUAAAUAUCCUCGCUAUAGAGUCCUGCUGGCGGUGGUCAUCAACCCCCAACUUUCUAAGUUUGACCUCGGAUCAGGUAGGGAUACCCGCUGAACUUAAGCAUAUCAAUAAGCGGAGGAU